UCAUAUGCUUGUCUCAAAGAUUAAGCCAUGCAUGUCUAAGUCCACGCUUUGGUAAAGUGAAACCGCGAAUGGCUCAUUAAAUCAGCUACAAUUUAUUAGAUCGUACACUGUUACUUGGAUAACUGUGGGAAUUCUAGAGCUAAUACAUGCCACGAGUCUCUGACCUUCGGGUUAGAGCGCACUUAUUAGACCAAAACCUUCCGUGCUCUUGGGCACGAAACUUUGGUGACUCUGGAUAACCUUCUGUUGAUCGCAUGGCCUUGCGCCGGCGACGUAUCUUUCAAGUGUCUGCCCUAUCAACUUUCGAUGGUAGGAGAGAUGCCUACCAUGGUGAUAACGGGUAACGGGGAAUCAGGGUUCGAUUCCGGAGAGGGAGCCUGAGAAAUGGCUACCACAUCCAAGGAUGGCAGCAGGCGCGCAAAUUACCCACUCCCAGAUCGGGGAGGUAGUGACGAAAAAUAACAAUGCGGGACUCUAAGAGGCCCCGCAAUUGGAAUGAGUACACCUUAACUCGUUUAACGAGUAUCUAUUAGAGGGCAAGUCUGGUGCCAGCAGCCGCGGUAAUUCCAGCUCUAAUAGCGUAUAUUAAAGUUGUUGCAGUUAAAAAGCUCGUAGUUGGAUCUGGAGCGUAUGUAUGCUGUCGUCCGUGGACACGGAGGCUGUGUACAUAGCUCUUCUUGCCGGUGUCUGCUGUGGUGUUCUUAACUGAGCGCUGCAGUGGGACGGCACGUUUACUUUGAAAAAAUUAGAGUGCUCAAAGCAGGCAGAAUGCCUGGAUAGUGUUGCAUGGAAUAAUGGAAUAGGACCUCGGUUCUAUUUUGUUGGUUUUCGAGUUUGAGGUAAUGAUUAAGAGAGACGAACGGGGGCAUUCGUAUUGCGGUGUUAGAGGUGAAAUUCUUGGAUCGCCGCAAGACGGACUACUGCGAAAGCAUUUGCCAAGAACGCUUUCAUUAAUUAAGAACGAAAGUCAGAGGUUCGAAGACGAUCAGACACCGUCCUAGUUCUGACCAUAAACGAUGCCGACUAGCGAUUCGCAGUGGUUGCUUCUUGGACCCUGCGAGAAGCCUCCGGGAAACCAAAGUGUUUGGGUUCCGGGGGAAGUAUGGUUGCAAAGCUGAAACUUAAAGGAAUUGACGGAAGGGCACCACCAGGAGUGGAGCCUGCGGCUUAAUUUGACUCAACACGGGAAAACUCACUCGGUCCGGACACCGUAAGGAUUGACAGACUGACAGCUCUUUCUUGAUUCAGUGGAUGGUGGUGCAUGGCCGUUCUUAGUUGGUGGAGUGAUUUGUCUGGUUAAUUCCGAUAACGAACGAGACUCUAGCCUGCUAACUAGUGACACUGUUCGAGAUGCAGUGUGAACUUCUUAGAGGGACAAGUGGCGUAUAGCCACGCGAAAUUGUGCAAUAACAGGUCUGUGAUGCCCUUAGAUGUCCGGGGCUGCACGCGCGCUACAAUGAAGGAGACAGCGUGUUGUCCGAGCCCGCUAGGGCUGGGUAACCCGUUGAAACUCCUUCGUGAUUGGGAUUGUGGCUUGUAAUUAUUCUACAUGAACGAGGAAUUCCUAGUAAGCGCAAGUCAUAAGCUUGCGUUGAUUACGUCCCUGCCCUUUGUACACACCGCCCGUCGCUGCUACCGAUUGAAUGGUUUAGCGAGGUCCUCGGAUUGCUUAGGAAGUGGCACUUCACGGUGUUGCUUCGCUGAGUGAGAAGACGACCAAACUUGAACAUUUAGAGGAAGCAAAAGUCGUAACAAGGUUUCC
rnacentral:rRNA from 1 species